CCGUGAUCCGGGUUGCGGACAGUGUCUGGUGGGUAGUUUGACUGGGGCGGUCUCCUCCUAAAGAGUAACGGAGGAGCACGAAGGUUGGCUAAUCCUGGUCGGACAUCAGGAGGUUAGUGCAAUGGCAUAAGCCAGCUUGACUGCGAGCGUGACGGCGCGAGCAGGUGCGAAAGCAGGUCAUAGUGAUCCGGUGGUUCUGAAUGGAAGGGCCAUCGCUCAACGGAUAAAAGGUACUCCGGGGAUAACAGGCUGAUACCGCCCAAGAGUUCAUAUCGACGGCGGUGUUUGGCACCUCGAUGUCGGCUCAUCACAUCCUGGGGCUGAAGUAGGUCCCAAGGGUAUGGCUGUUCGCCAUUUAAAGUGGUACGCGAGCUGGGUUUAGAACGUCGUGAGACAGUUCGGUCCCUAUCUGCCGUGGGCGCUGGAGAACUGAGGGGGGCUGCUCCUAGUACGAGAGGACCGGAGUGGACGCAUCACUGGUGUUCGGGUUGUCAUGCCAAUGGCACUGCCCGGUAGCUAAAUGCGGAAGAGAUAAGUGCUGAAAGCAUCUAAGCACGAAACUUGCCCCGAGAUGAGUUCUCCCUGAGACUUUAGGUCUCCUGAAGGAACGUUGAAGACGACGACGUUGAUAGGCCGGGUGUGUAAGCGCAGCGAUGCGUUGAGCUAACCGGUACUAAUGAACCGUGAGGCUUAACCUUACAACGCCGAAG
rnacentral:rRNA from 1 species